rnacentral:lncRNA from 1 species
CUUUAAAGAGAUGAUGUGCUUCAUCCACACAGGCAAGGCCCCCAACCUGGACAAGAUGGCUGAUGACCUGCUGACUGCAGCUGACAAGGUACAGAGAGAGGGCGUGAACACACCUGUUACCAUGUACAUUUACACACAAGCUGGUGUGCAUGAUAAUGACCCAAAAUAAACACCUCACUACCACCAAAUGGUCCUCUGCAUGAACUUACACACACAUACACACACAUACACUCUUGAUCUGCAGUAAGACCAUAUAAACCUUCUUGCCUGCAGGAGGUAAAGAGAUGCACAGCAACAUCAUACUCCUAACCCCCUCUUGUUUUUGCACCUUUUCUCUCACUAUUUUCCAGACUUUUGCACGUGUCUCAUUUUAAUCAUUGACCUUCUCAUUGCAGAGCUUCAUUUGUAUUUUUUUAAAUUUUUUAAUGGCUCUCAGAAUGUCUUCUCAGGUGUGUUUCUCCUGAAGUAGCCAAUUAAAUCCAAUAAAGGGGCCUGCCAGACUUAAUGAUAGCAGCUUGACUCCGGGGAAGGAAAAUCUGUGUGUCUGUACAGUCCGACUUUAGUUCAGACUUCAACAUUACAGCUACUUAAGAAUGGGUUGCCAUGGAUUACAUUAUCUGCAUGGUGAUGCCUGACUUUCCUUGUAGUAUCCUUCCAGUGAAAUGGUUCUAUUGUAUUGAUCACUGUGUUCAAGGGGGGGGGGGGGGGGUCAGCAGAUUUUAUUAAGAAAUAAUAACUAAAAUGAAAUAAAAACAACAGUAAAAGAUACUUAAAUAAGAGCACCAAAAUAGCUCAAUAAAAGACGAUCCUGUGAUUAAAACUAGAAUAGACAAAUGCUAAAACACUUAAACAGAGUUAAUGAUCUAAAUUUAGUUAAAAGCAACACUAAAAAGGUACGUUUUUAGUUUGCUUUUAAAAUCAUUAAGAAUAGGUGCAGUCCUCAGGUCUUCAGUUAAGCUGUUCCAUAGAGGUGGCCAUAGUAAUAAAAAGAUGCCUCACCGUAUGUCUUGGUUUUAACUUUAGGUAUUGUUAACACUUCCUGAAGACCUGAGGGCUCGACCUGGCUCAUGAGGAAAAAGAAGAUCAGAUAGACAAGAAGGGCAAAAGCCAUUAAGAGCUUUAAAAACCAAUAAAACAACCUUACAAUCUAUUCUAAAAAAAAAACGGGUAGCCAAUGCAGAGACCUUAAAACUGGUGUAAUGUAAUCUCUCUUUCUGGUCCUUGUUAACAUCCGGUGAAAGCCAUUUGGUGAAAGGUCCUGACUUUAGACCCAAAUACAUGACGGAAAUCUGCUCUGUAAUUGAUGAUGUGGCUGGGAUGGUUUUAAAACCCUCUAAAAUAAAAGGCCUCAGGGUAAAGACUGAACAAAGAAACACGAAGAGUGAAUUCCUCUCCAUUCUCAAACUGUACAUGUUUUGACACGUGAUUUGCUUUGUUUAUCAAACCACCUUAAAAUGAUCUAAAGAGCUUCAUCCCCACUGCUGACUACCUGCGCCCAACAAACCACAUUCUGACCAGUUUUAGUUGUAACUUUGUCUUAUGUGCUAAUUCACAAGAGUUUUAAUACAAACACUAAAGCCAAGAUAAUUCUUGCCAUCAGGCAUCAGCUGCUCAUUACAGUUCAUCUUAGCCUUUAAGGUGCUAACUUGUAGCUUGGAUUACCUGCCAUGCUUCAUAGAUCUGCUCGCAUAGCUUGUUUUUGUGUUUACAGCUGGUCAAACUACGAUUGUUUUAAAAUAAGGUUCAUCACUAAAUUUCAACACUUAAUUUCCCUUAUACUUGCAAUUUAAAUCACAUACUCAGAACAACAUCAUUUUGCAUUUCAAUAAAGCUAUUUUAAUGCCAGUAUUGAUGAUGUGAAGCAAUUCUUACUCUUGUCUUGAAUCCAAUGAAUGCGAACAGUUCAAAUCUAAUGAAUCACAAGUCUGUAGAAGUGUGGUCUGUGAUCUAUGGUCCUGUGCAGACAAAAGUAGUGUUUAAAAAAAAAAAAAAACUCCUCUUUGUCUUGAAAACAACAAAUUUAUCACUUCCUUUGAAUGUUUGCUGUGUUUAAGGUCCCCUUAAAAAACAGUUUUUUCAACCUGUUUACAAUUAUCUGGUCUGACACCUCACCAUAUUUUAAAGCAUUAAAAAUAACUACAGUGAAAUGAUCUGCCUUGUUGCUGAUGGUCUUGUUUGUUUCUGAAGGACAUACAGGCACCAGUAUUGGUUUCAGUCUGUAACUUAACUAGUUAAAAAACUCCCUGUAGUGCCUUUAAAUGGAAACAGUUUAGCAGUUUCGCACAACUCUUUUACAUGUCCAUCAAAUUUAAGCUGACAGUCUACAGGAACAUCUAAAACAUGGACUUAUUUAUGUCCUCUAUCUCCCUCUUGUUAAUCUUUGCUCUGAAAUCUUCAGUGACUUUUUUUUGUAAUUGAAUAUCGACUCUCUAGUUACAGUUCAAAGUCAGAUGAUUCUGUUGGAGCUAAUGAGACACCAGACAUUAAACAGGGAACACAUUUUCCUCACUAGACAUAUGUAAGAUAUGUUAUAGACACUUGAGCACAAGUCUUAUUUAGUGGAAGUUCAUUUGAAUUAAUUAUCUUACAUCAUUAUUUUGUAAACGUCUCUUUAAAUGAGAAAAUUGUGGUGUUGGAAAGUUCCCCACAGUCUCAGCUGAACACAGCCUGACUCAUUCUGAACACACAUAAAAGAAGCAUAUUGCUCCUCGCAAUUUAGUAAUCAAACUUAGUGGAAAUGAUUUUUUACCCCUCAGUGAUCCCCUCUCCCAUCAUCUCCCCCGCAGUCUGCAUACCUGUCACUUGUACUUCUCUCGGCCAUAUUUUUUUCUUAUUUAAUCUAAGCCUUGUUGCCUGUGCGGUGGAGUAAUUCUGCAUUUCCGUAUCAUUACACAGGGAAACAACAGUUGUUGUUGGCAGCGCUGUUUAAGUAAUUUAGUUUACCUGCUGUUUCUCCUCUCUCUCUGUCAUUGACGGUACGCUCCAGAGAGGCUGAAGGUGAUGUGUGAGGAGACGCUGAGCACGAGAACGCCGCAAAGAUUCCCAUCCUCGCUGACCUGCGCAGCACCAUCUCCGCAGGACCUGGACUUCAUCACACCGUGAGCUCCAAGAGAUCGUUCAUUUCUAACACUUAUUCCCACACAUAGAAAAACACACUCGGACACUUAGCGUUCGCUCCAAGGAAGUCAUUAAUUUCCAGUGAGAGCCGUUUUUGCAUCCCGAGGAAAUUUAAUUUAAACCCACGAUUGGACAAUGUUGCUGCUGUGUCAUAUUUGGUCAUUUAGCAUUAAAGCUCACCUGCUGAUGUUAAUCAUGUUGUAGGAAGCCUGUUAGGCUAAAACGAGGCCUGUUAGCAUCUAAGGCUGCUAUUUAUAUCCAUAAAGAGGUGUCUGAUAUUACCUCUGAAUGCACAGUCCAAACUUUCCUCCAGUUAGUUCCUCUAUGAAUCAAAUUCUGGAUGUUUUUCUAUUCCUUUGUUCAUUUUGCUCUCAUUUUUUACAGCUUUGUGAUUUCAUUGGCUCCAUCUCCCUUCCCAUUUUCUCUCCCCUCCCCUCCCUUUCCUGCUCAAGAGCUCAUGUGCGCCUAAAGGUGUUCAGUAAUGCAGAUUUCUGCCCCUAAUCCCAGUCAUUAAUUGUGGUUAUGGGCGUUAUGACAGUUUAAUUUGCGACAGAGUUGUUGCAGUGGUGGGAAAAUUGGCCACAGGGGACUCGUGGCCGGCGAAAGCGUUAUCAACCCUCCUCUCACGGACACAAUGGACAGCAACAAGAGCAACAAAACAAAAAUCAAUUUAGAGGACGAAUAUAGAAAACAGACGACACGGAGGAGCCAAUAAUCCUCCCCCACAGUAGCACCUCUACCUUUUUCCAGACCAGUCUUCACACGCAGCUUAGUCAUUUAGUCCGCACUGUAUCCUGCCUGCUGCAUGUUUUCAGCCUCUGCAGGGGUGAAACGAAGAGUAAAGGCACCCAAACAUGAUUUUCUGCUCUGUAAAAGACAGUGAAUAACAGUAAAGUAGUGCAUCAUGAGUAAUACAAAACAAGGCCCUUCUCAGAAAACUCUUUUUUUUUUGUUGAUGAUGGUGUUUUGUCCUCUGAUAAGCACUGACUUCAGGUCACAGUUUGGCCCCUUUUUAAUUUACACUCAUGUCACUGUUCUUGUUCCCAUCUCUCUGCGCACACUUUCAUUACUCUACCUCACCUCCUUGUCUUUUUUAUUUGUUUCAUUUUAUUUAUUCAUCUAUUUGUCCCUGCCUCGGUCUCCUCCCUCGGACCAUCCUUCUCUCCCUCUCCUCCUGCUGCCGUUGCUCUCCUCAUGCCCUUUCCCUGCCCUGUUGCCUCAGCCUCAGCACGCUGGCCAUUACUGUAGGCAGGGGUUCACUUUCUCCUCAGAGGGUGGGGUCAGGGGUUAGCUAUGUGUUAUGCUGUGUGGACUGGAGACUAACACACACACACACACACACACACACACACACACACACACACACACACACUGACUGAAGUAUCAAGACCUAGAUAUUUAUGAACACACACCCCCCCCCCCCCCCCCCCACAUGCUGUUUAUUUACAUGCAAUAAAACCAGAAAAAUGUCAUUAAAGGCCACACAGAGGGGGUGCGUGAUAGUGCAGCCCAGCACCCUGAGGGCUGAAGACCAGCACACAGCCAGCUGCUGGAGAGUCACAUUUGUGGAAGAUGAUGACCAUGUGUGAAACUCAUCAGGAUUUCUAAUUACAGGAAUUAUGGAUUUAAUUGAGCUUUUUAUUCUUAUUUGAUGUGGACACUAUAAUUCAACACAUUUCUGAUUAGGCAUGGGCUGUUUCAAAAACCCAAAUAUAUCUUUUUGGACUGUUUCUACAGUAAAAAAAAAAAAGGGAAAAUCAAACAUCCACUAUCAGAAAACAGUAGAAAAUGUCCACAAAAAAAACCCAAUCCAAAAUAAAAGAUUUUUUUAUAGGGGAGACUGGGGACAGUUGCUACAAGACUUAUUCUUCCAAUCAGAAACAUGCUAGAUUGAUGACAGUGAUACUGCAGAUGCUCUAUUUAUUUUUAUUGGAAAUAAAACUGAUUUAUUGAAAAAAAACAAAAAAAACAACAACUUGUUUUUAAUAUAUGCAAAAUGUAUAAUUUUUUUUAAUAUGGUUUAUUUUUGUCAUACUGUCCUGACUGUUUGCAUGAAUUAAUCACUGUUUAGUUAGUUUUGAUUGUAGUUUAGCUGAUUUCUGAGUUACAUGGUUAGCAUUUGUUAAAAACAGUGUGUUUAACUAGCGCAUGGUCUUCAGACAUGACUGUCCCCGGGCUAGUGUUGUAUGAUAUGCAGUGUUGCAUUUGCAUCAAGAUUUGUAUUCGUAUCUUGGUAAAAUCCACAAUCCACUUACUAACAUUGAAAUCUGUGACAUCUGCACAUUGACUCAAAGUAGGCCAUGUUUUAUGCAGAAAGAAACAAAACUCGAUACUGGAUAUUAGAUUAAUGAAUAAAUAAUACUUUAGCAUGUUGUAUAUUAAAUUAUCAUAAUAUCAUAAAUAAUACAUAUUCUCAGACCAAUAUGCUCAUUGAGACAAAAAAAAAGUUGAAUGGAUCUGUGACAUGUUGUAAAUGUUCGAGGGAUGGGGUCGGUUGCAACAGUUGAUUUUUUUUUUUUGAAUGAAUACUGUGAAAAAUCAGUCUGAUGUAAUCAUAUUUAAAUGGUAUGUGGAAUUAAGCCUCUCUUCAAGUGAAGCAUGAAGGGCUCUAAAACCUCCUGGUAGACUUUAGGCUGCUUUGACUGACUCUGGACUUGAUAAAACACAGAGGACCAACUCUAGCAGAUGACAUGGCCCCCCAAAUCAUCACAGACUGUGGAAACUUUACACUGGACUUAUGAGAGCUUCAAGUGAAGUUUGUGCCAACCAAAACAGAUUAUAUAUAUAAAAUAAUAAUAAUAAUAAUAAUAAUAAUAAUAACAAAAAAAUGAUUAACUUCGAAGUAACUGGACUGGUUGAAUAAGUACAUCCCACAUGUGGAGGUUUUGGGCCUCAUCACUGUAGGUUGAAUUCCUUGUUGACCAUGUUUGAUUCCUGUCAUGACUCACUCUAUGCUCCCUCUGCGACUGUCUGACCCAAUAACGGCUCCAAAUCCCCCCAAAAAAUUGAAAAAUAAUCAGUGAUUGAACUUUGUCAAUUCUAAAUCAGCUUGGCAAGGCUCAAGAAAUCUGCAGCCAAAUCUGAAAACAACAACAACACAGAACCAACAUCCUAAUCAACACUUGAGACUAAAAUGAAGUAUUUUCCAAAAAUGUAUUUAUUUUAGAAACUUUGGAGACGAUCUGAAGGACAAAUGAGUCAUGUAAGAAAAAAUUAAGCAAAGAAAUGAUAAAAAAGGCCCUAAAGUUUAGAAUAUUCAAUCUGAUUCAUUGUAUUUAGAUUUAAAUACAGUGUGCAUUAACCUUAGCCUAUAAUAUACAUUCGUGACCUCACUUUUUUAAACACUGUUUUAAUGUACAUAACAACAACAACAACAAAAAAGUGAGCUUCCAUCACCUCAGAAAGAGUUUGUCUCUCACUUUUGUGCUUUAAUCUCAAAUUUUGUAAAACUAUAAAAACUCAAUGUCGUGAUAUGUUCUGUUUAUUUAGUUUUAUUAAGUUUGUUCCUGGUUUCAUUUCAGUGCAGUUUGUGUAUUUUCCCUAUUGUUCCCGUUCCCCUGUAGUCCAGUCUUGUGAGUUUUUAGUUUGUGUUUGACCCUGUUUCCCUCCUGUUCUUCGUGUUUUAUUCUUUAGAUCAGUUUUCAGUGAUUUCUGUUUUAUUUUGUAGUAGUUGAUUCCUUGUGUUUCUAGUCUGGUUUUGCUUCCCUAGUUUUCCCUUCUUCGUUAAUCACCCAUGAGUUUCAUCAGUGUCUAGUCUGCCUCACCUGUCGCUUGUUUCCGAGUGUGUAUAUAAUUUCUGUCUUCCCCUCAAUCCUGGUUGGUUCUUUGUAUGUCGAUGUGUGUGCACGCGUAUGCUUAUGUCCCCAGUUGUUCCUUGUGAUUUUUCCCCCGGUGUUUUUUGUGCGUUUUGGAUUUUUUUGGUAAGACAUUUUAAAGUAAGUUUUUGCUGCUUUUCAUUUAGUUAUUUUUAAAUAAAUCCUUUCUUUUUGUCUGCAUUUUGGGUCCUUUCCCUUUUUGUUUUUACUCUGGCAAGUGACACUUACUCCCUUAAAAUGGUUUAAAAUGUAAAGUAUUUCAAAAUGGAACAAAGUGGAAGAAAAAAAUCUUUUUUUUUUUUUAACCAAAUUGCUCAUAAGUCAUAUCUGUAUGAGGACAGGCUGCAAGUGGGCAUUGGCUAUAAGGGGUCAAAAGAACAAAACCUGCUCUGAAUCAGUGUUUUAAGGGGUUUGAUAGGAGAAGAUCUAACACAUGACAGAACUAUGACUCAGCACACUAUCUCAUCACAUACCCACAUAUUUACACGCCUAAAUGUUUGCUUCAAAGUAACGUCUGAGAGUUGGACAUUUUUAGGCCUCUGAGAGCUGAUCCGCCAUCUCUCAUAAAAAAGGACUCUUUCAAACAAUUUUGUCCGUAGGUGUUCGAUUUUCACACUUUUCUCACUCAUUCAUCUCCUCUCAGUCAUGCAUGAUGAAGAUGUCAGCCUGGAAGUCCAUGGUGAUCUCUCACCCUCCCCUGGUCCCAGCUGCUCCCCUCUGAGGAAUGGUUUGAACAGUCCUUGUGGUGCUGAGACACUCUUGACUAGACUGGUCUAUAGCUGCUUUGUCCUUUUGACAGUGUUUCCGUCCCUCUUCUCUUUCUUGCAACAUCCACAGACUGAAACCUUCACAAUAUACUGCGUGGGGAUGGAGGGCUACUGCGUGGGGCAGACCAAAGAGUGGCUGGACUG